UACAGAGGUCCCGAGCGUUGUUCGGAUUCACUGGGCGUAAAGGGUGCGUAGGUGGUGGGGUAAGUCUCGUGUGAAAGCUCGCAGCUUAACUGCGAAAAGUCACGGGAUACUAUUCUGCUGGAGGCUUGGAGGGGGGACUGGAAUACUUGGUGUAGCAGUGAAAUGCGUAGAUAUCAAGUGGAACACCAGUGGCGAAGGCGAGUCCCUGGACAAGACCUGACACUGAGGCACGAAAGCCAGGGGAGCAAACAGG
rnacentral:rRNA from 2 species